CCCAAGCAACCCAAAGGGCCAGUCUCACUCCCACCAUGCCCACCCCCACAACAGCACCAAGUCUGUUUCCAGGUAGUGGGCAAACAGGAAGUUACCCCAGGCUACCCACCUCCCAGCUGCAAAACCCUUGAACCUGCUUGCCUCAGUAACCAUGGCAAGUCCAGAUGGCUGCCUUAGGAUCAGAUGUAAACCUUGGAGAAACCAGCUGUGGCCAGUAUGUCAAGUUUAAGCAGACAAAUGAAGGUGACCUGUGGUGGGAAUACACAUUUUGAAACUGAAAAGAGAUGGUAUGUGGGGAUGUACGGAGAACUUGUUGGAGUCUCUGUUGUGGACAACGCUUUAUGUGGUUUCAAGCUUCACAUACAAAAAAAAAGAAGGAAAGUGGCAGCACCCAAAAAAGAUCAAAACAAGGCAAGGAUCUCUGCUCUCGACCCAUCUAUUCAAUAUUGAACUAGAGGUCCCAGAUGGUGCAAUAAGGGACAUGGAUGAAGCUGGAAACCAUCAUUCUCAGCAAAC
rnacentral:lncRNA from 1 species